GGACCUUUAGCUCAGUUGGUUAGAGCAGACGGCUCAUAACCGUCGGGUCGUAGGUUCGAGUCCUACAAGGUCCA
rfam:Lactobacillus johnsonii NCC 533, complete genome.